AUGGAAGCUCCGGUUCCAGAUUGGUCCGGGUUACCAGCGGACAUAUUGAUCAGCGUAUUCCAGUUGCUUGAGUGCCCGGACCUCCUCCGAUCCGCCGCCGUCUGCACAUUCUGGCAAAAGGCAUACUCCAUGUUCCGCCGCAGCGGCGUCUGCCCCAGUCAGCAGACCCCCUGCUUACUCUAUUGUACCGAGGCCGCCGGUGCGAAGGCUCUUGGCAUGUACAGUCUCUCCGAACGGAAGUCCUACUCCAUGCCCCUCCCUGAACCUCCCAUCAGCAACUGGAUUGGUUCAUCACAUGGAUGGAUAGUCACCAUGGAUGAGAAGUCUGACCUGAUGCUGCUCAACCCUAUCACCGGUGACAAGAUUACACUCCCUCCUGUGACAACCAUGGAGCAUGUUAAACCUAUCGUAAACGACGACGGGGUUCUUGAAAAGUACAAGAUGUCUUUCUACGACGGAGAGCUUCCGAGGGUGGAGGAUACACCCUAUGCAUGCCCUUUGGAUAGGUACGGAGAUCUGGUCUAUCUGAAGGCAAUUUUGUCGUCCGAUCCAUCGGCAGGGGAAUGCACUGUCAUGCUCAUCCAUCAGCCAUACGCUCAGCUCUCAUUCGCCAAAGUGGGAGAUGCUCACUGGAACUGGCUCCAAAUGCAUAGUUUCUAUGCAGAUUGCAUACACCAUGAUGGCUGUUUCUACGCAAUGACUGCGGCAGGCGCAAUCGAUGUGUUUGAUUUGAACGGAUCAUCUGUCGUCCACAGAAGGAUUUUACCAAAUCUAGUUCGGAUGCUCGAGAAGUGCUACAUUGUUCAGGCACCAUGGGGAGAUGUCCUCCAAAUCAUUAAGGAGGAGAGUUUGGAUCCUGAACAACCAGAUGGUGAGACAUAUGUCACUGCUUAUGAAGUGUACAAGGUUGAUUUUGUUGAGCUGAAGCGUGUCAAGAUGAGAGGGAUAGGUGAAUAUGCAUUGUUUACUGGGAAAAGCACAACAUCUUGCUUUAGCUUAAAGGAUCAUCCAGGCUUGAUGGCAAACCAUCUAUAUUUUACUCAUGAUGAUCACGACGAAUUACUCAGCGGCAAAGAUGAUCCACGUGACAUAGGAGUGUACGACUUGGAAAAUGAUACCAGAACCAAUUUGGUUGAUCCUGAACCCUGGAGGACGUGGUUCCCUCCCAUAUGGUGCACACCCAACCUUGCAAAAGCAGGAUUUCCAGAUGAUAAUGGUGAGGCGCAAUAG
rnacentral:rRNA from 1 species